GUAGUUCGACGUCGUGGCACGAGACACGCUGGCGGCGUGCCUAAUACAUGCAAGUCGAGCGGACCGACGGGAGCUUGCUCCCUUAGGUCAGCGGCGGACGGGUGAGUAACACGUGGGUAACCUGCCUGUAAGACUGGGAUAACUCCGGGAAACCGGGGCUAAUACCGGAUGCUUGUUUGAACCGCAUGGUUCAAACAUAAAAGGUGGCUUUUCGCUAUCACUUACAGAUGGACCCGCGGCGCAUUAGCUAGUUGGUGGGGUAACGGCUCACCAAGGCGACGAUGCGUAGCCGACCUGAGAGGGUGAUCGGCCACACUGGGACUGAGACACGGCCCAGACUCCGUACGGGAGGCAGCAGUAGGGAAUCUUCCGCAAUGGACGAAAGUCUGACGGAGCAACGCCGCGUGAGUGAUGAAGGUUUUCGGAUCGUAAAACUCUGUUGUUAGGGAAGAACAAGUACCGUUCGAACAGGGCGGUACCUUGACGGUACCUAACCAGAAAGCCACGGCUAACUACGUG
rnacentral:rRNA from 1 species